rnacentral:rRNA from 1 species
GACCAAAAGAUUGAGUUAUAUGAAUAGGUAAAAAGAUGGUUAGGCAGAGGUGUAGAUAGUUUAAUGAUUUUUUAUAAAAAGGUAAAAUUUGAAUAUAAAGGUUUAGUUUUUUUUAUACUGUAAUGCCGAAGCUAUGAUAGUUUUGAGGGAAACUGGGAUUAGAUACCCCAUUAUUCAUAAAUUGUAAAUUAAUAAUAAAUAUUUACCAGAGUACUAUGAAUAAUAAAAGUUUAAAACUCAAAGGGCUUGGCGGUGUUUUAGACCAAUUAGGGGAACCUGUCUCGUAAUCGACAGUCCACGAUAGACCUGACCUUUUUUAGUAGACAGUUUGUAUACCGUUGUCGUCAGGUAACUUUUAAAAAUAAAGAAGUUAGCAGUGAUAAUAAUGUUAGUUGAGACGUCAGAUCAAGGUGCAGCUUAUGGAAAGGAGAGGAUGGGUUACAGUUAUAAAUUAGUAAUUACGGAGAGUAUAAUGGAAAAAGCUUGAAGGCGGACUUAAAAGUAAUAUUGUAAUAUAUAGAUGGUUUGAAUUAGGCUCUGAAACGUGC